rnacentral:rRNA from 1 species
GCUUGUCUCAAAGAUUAAGCCAUGCAUGUCUAAGUAUAAACACCUUUAUACUGUGAAACUGCGUACAGCUCAUUAAAUCAGUAAUAAUUUAUUUGAUGGUGACUUACUACAUGGAUAACCGUAGUAACCUAGAGCUAAUACAUGCACAAAAUCCCGACUUCACGGAAGGGAUGUAUUUAUUAGAUAAAAAACCAAUCCGGCAACGGUGCUUGGUGAUUCAUAAUAACUGUUCGAAGCGCACGGCCUCGCGCCGGCGCUAGUUCAUUCAAAUUUCUGCCCUAUCAACUUUCGAUGGUAAGGUAUUGGCCUACCAUGGUUACCACGGGUAACGGGGAAUUAGGGUUCGGUUCCGGAGAGGGGGCCUGAGAAAUGGCCACCACAUCCAAGGAAGGCAGCAGG